rnacentral:tRNA from 1 species
AACAAUGUGCCUGAUCAAAAGGAAUACCUUGAUAGGGUAUAUCAUGUAGAUUUCUACCAUUGUUA